rnacentral:lncRNA from 1 species
UGGGCUUAUAAAUUUAAUUACCCCCUCUACUAACUAAUAAAAAAAAACUCCGAGAUUAAAAAGAUGGUAGUAUAAAAAUUUUCAAAUUGCGGAAGGUUGUGUUAUUUAGGAGUUGUAUUUCUUUCACUUAAAAAUGAAUUCUACUUGUUGCUGUUGCUGGAAAAGUAUGGUGAAAGAUCAGAAUCAUUUUAAAAAAUGAAUAAAAACUUAGAAGAACAAAUUCAAAUGUUUUUCUUUCCUGAAUAUUCAAUGAACAACGAUUGCUAUGCAUCAGUUGUUUGUCCUGGUUGCCGAAGAAAUCUUUACAGACUCAAAAAGGGAGACUCACUUUGUGGUGAAUGGGGAGCUAAGGUUACCAAGAGUGGAAAAUCCUUUUGAGAAAUAGCCCCAGAACCAGUCUAACUCUUCCAGAUGAGAUAACUAAUUUUCCGACAACUAAGUCAAGUAUAUGUUCUUUUUGCUAUACAUUGGCUGCACCUGGUUAUUCUCAUAACUCUACACCCACCAGUGCUGUGGCAAAUAUCAUUACACUGUCAUUUCUUCUAGGUACUCUUCAAGCUGAACAGGUUGCUUCUGGAAUUAUAAAAUGUAAAAUGGCUACAGAAAGUUUGAUUGACGGAUCAACGUUUUGUUUAUCUACAGGAGGAAAUCCGCUCAAAGUCACAGUUGGUACACCAGAAAACAAAUCAAAA